UACAGAGGUCUCGAGCGUUGUUCGGAUUCAUUGGGCGUAAAGGGUGCGUAGGCGGCGGGGCAAGUCUGAUGUGAAAUCCCGGGGCUCAACUCCGGAACUGCAUUGGAUACUGCCUUGCUUGAGUACUGGAGAGGAGACUGGAAUUUACGGUGUAGCAGUGAAAUGCGUAGAGAUCGUAAGGAAGACCAGUGGCGAAGGCGAGUCUCUGGACAGUUACUGACGCUGAGGCACGAAGGCCAGGGGAGCAAACGGG
rnacentral:rRNA from 1 species